AGGGAUCAAUCCCGUAGCGCUGCCGGAAUGCCGCGAUCGCGCUCUCCUGCCGCGCGAGCUUGCGGCUCAAAGCAUCGAUUUGAGCGCGACGCGUGAGGGCGAGAGCCGCGAUGUUUUCGCGGAAUGUACGCGCAUCCGCGCGUGUCCCUGUCGAGGUGCCAUGUCUGGAUUGUCGGCGCUUGGUGUUCUAUCAGAUUUGUGAACAAACCUCACAGCGAAUUUUUCCGACGCGGUCGCAGCACUUUAUAAGCGGUUGCGCGAACAGGAAAAAAUUUAAGAAUCACGGCUUCAAUGCCGGUCGCUUGGUAGAUCGGCUCUCCCCGAACCAAUUCCCCAAUUUGCCUUCUCAAUUCUCCCGCUUGCCCGGUCUGUUGAUCCGUUUUUUCAGCGGGUGUAGCAGCCGAAGGGUUGCGAAAUUGACCACGCUGAGGACUGCAGCAAUAUCGUAUAGUCCGAAA
rnacentral:misc_RNA from 1 species